GACGAACGCUGGCGGCGUGCUUAACACAUGCAAGUCGAGCGGUAAGGCCCUUCGGGGUACACGAGCGGCGAACGGGUGAGUAACACGUGAGUAACCUGCCCUCCACUCUGGGAUAACUUUCGGAAACGGAAGCUAAUACCGGAUACGACCACUAGCCGCAUGGCUCGGUGGUGGAAAGUUCCGGCGGUGGGGGAUGGACUCGCGGCCUAUCAGCUUGUUGGUGAGGUAAUGGCUCACCAAGGCUUCGACGGGUAGCCGGCCUGAGAGGGUGACCGGCCACACUGGGACUGAGACACGGCCCAGACUCCUACGGGAGGCAGCAGUGGGGAAUAUUGGACAAUGGGCGAAAGCCUGAUCCAGCAACGCCGCGUGAGGGAUGACGGCCUUCGGGUUGUAAACCUCUUUCAGCAGGGACGAAGCGCAAGUGACGGUACCUGCAGAGGAAGCACCGGCCAACUACGUGCCAGCCGCCGCAGUAAUAC
rnacentral:rRNA from 1 species